rnacentral:lncRNA from 1 species
GGGGUAAAAAAGGGGGGUCGAUUUUGCACACACAUUCUUUUAAAAAAUUUUUGUAGGUUUCCUUUUUGAAAUUGAAAGUAAAGUUAAGUUAAGUUACAUUUAAUAUAGGAAAUUAUUUUUCCAACUCCGGCAGUGGGAUUCGAACUCUCAAUCUUAGCGCCUUGGGAUAGAUCAGCGUACCCCUGCGCCACUGGCAUUGUAGUGAAUUUAUUGAAAUUUAAGUACUUAAGUCUACUACUACGGAAGAAAUUAAAAA